AAAGAUCUGUAGCAACGCUAGGUCUGAUCCUCUUGUCAACUGACGCUUUGAGCCAGCUGUAAAGGGGUCCCUGUACUACUGGACGCUGUGCUGAACUGAAGCUCGGGAUGUUAGCAGAAAGGCUGGGACAGGGGAUGAUGUCAUGGACUUGAGACUGGGUCUUCCUCUUUGGAAAAGCCUUCACAGACCUGUGCACAGGGCUCCUUGGAUGGCCGCCCAAGGGAAUGAGGAAGCAGAUGAAGCCCACGUGUGAUUGACUGCGGUGUUUUGAGGGUAGGGAAGGAGGCCCUACUGUUAGUCUGAGCCGUUAAUACUGUUUCCUCAACACACGCUGGGCCCAGCGCAUGCUCUGGGACAUUGGGUCCAGCCAGCUGGCCCUGAUGAAAGCAGUUUCUAGUCCUAGAAGGCUGGUAUCUCUUGAAACCCAAGCCAUCAAUCUAGGAAUAACCUUUCCUUUUCUAACCUUCCCAACUUUCCUAAAGCCGAAACUCUUUAACACAGUUCCUCAUGUUGUGGUGACCCCUGACC
rnacentral:sRNA from 1 species